AUUUGACCCUGUGGUGUUCAAUUUGAAUGGAUUGGGUGAAUGAUAUGCUCUUAGUUGAGCUCCGUAUGGCUGUCGGGUUAGCUAGGGUUUUGUCUUCUGUUUCUGGGUACCUUAAUCUUGAAGCUUUAAGCUUCUGGAUCCGCCUGUUAAAAUUUUGGGCUUGUUUUUGAGGUGGGGAUAGAAAGAUAAUCCUCAUAGGAAGAAUCGCUUACUUCUGACUGUUUAUCUGGAAGAAAGGCCGCUACUUUUGCUUAGAAAUGUGAUUGGCAUGCAUUUUUAUGUGAAGUAGUGAUCUUUAGGUUUGAAAAGGUAGAAAUGGGUACCCGUACCCGUAUAAUUGAAGUGCGAAUGUUGUUUUGUUAUGUUAUUGAUACAAGUGACCCACUUCAGUACUUGUUGAUGGAACUACAGUGUAGUGAAAUUAUUAUAAAUAAUUGGAUGGUGUUUGAAAUAGUUUUUGCGAUCCUAAUUGUAAGUUCUACAUGUGAUGGCAUAUUUAGGAAGGUCGUUGCAGUAAAAUUUAUGACAUACACCAAAGCAAUCAGAUCUAUGUCGAUUUUGCAAUUUUCAGAUUUACUAACAGUAUCAUACCCUUGUGAAAAUGAUGCAUUUCCUAUUUGAAGCUUGCUUGACCCACCCAAUUGCGAUGGGGUUUUUCUAUAAAUUCUAUGUGCAUUUGAAGACUGACUAAUGGAGAUUUCUUUUCUACGUUGUAGUUAUGUCAGAG
rnacentral:misc_RNA from 1 species